AUUUGAUGAUGUGGGCAUUGUAUUUGAAGAUCAUUAAAUCUAUCCCAAGCUUCGUAAAAUUCUUCAUUAGGUUUUUGUCUAAAUGUUUGAAUUCUAUUUCGCAUAUC
rnacentral:snoRNA from 1 species